rnacentral:rRNA from 1 species
AGCAGCAGCCGCGGUAAAACGUAGGUCCCGAGCGUUGUCCGGAUUUAUUGGGCGUAAAGCGAGCGCAGGCGGUUAGAUAAGUCUGAAGUUAAAGGCUGUGGCUUAACCAUAGUACGCUUUGGAAACUGUUUAACUUGAGUGCAAGAGGGGAGAGUGGAAUUCCAUGUGUAGCGGUGAAAUGCGUAGAUAUAUGGGGGAACACCGGUGGCGAAAGCGGCUCUCUGGCUUGUAACUGACGCUGAGGCUCGAAAGCGUGGGGAGCAAACAGGAUUAGAUACCCGAGUAGUCCCUGUCUCUUAUACA